UACGUAGGGUGCAAGCGUUGUCCGGAAUUAUUGGGCGUAAAGAGCUCGUAGGCGGUCUGUCGCGUCGGCUGUGAAAUCCCGAGGCUCAACCUCGGGUCUGCAGUCGAUACGGGCAAACUGGAGUGUUGCAGGGGAGACUGGAAUUCCUGGUGUAGCGGUGAAAUGCGCAGAUAUCAGGAGGAACACCGGUGGCGAAGGCGGGUCUCUGGGCAACACGUGACGCUGAGGAGCGAAAGCGUGGGGAGCGAACAGG
rnacentral:rRNA from 1 species